rnacentral:rRNA from 1 species
AACGAACGCUGGCGGCGCGCCUAACACAUGCAAGUCGAACGAGAAUCCGGGGCAACCCGGUAGUAAAGUGGCAAACGGGUGAGGAAUACAUGGGUAACCUACCCUUGAGAAGGGAAUAACCCGCCGAAAGGUGAGCUAAUACCCUAUACGCUAUCUUUUUUUCGAAAAGGAUAGGAAAGCCGGGUCGAGGACCUGGUACUCAAGGAGGGGCUCAUGUCCUAUCAGCUUGUUGGUGGGGUAACGGCCUACCAAGGCUACGACGGGUAGCUGGUCUGAGAGGAUGAUCAGCCACACUGGCACUGAGUUACGGGCCAGACUCCUACGGGAGGCAGCAGUGAGGAAUAUUGCGCAAUGGGCGAAAGCCUGACGCAGCGACGCCGCGUGGGGGAUGAAGGUUUUCGGAUUGUAAACCCCUUUCAUGAGGAAGAUAAAGUGGGUAACCACUUAGACGGUACCUCAAGAAGAAGCCACGGCUAACUUCGUG